rnacentral:rRNA from 1 species
UACGAAGGGGGCUAGCGUUGUUCGGAAUUACUGGGCGUAAAGGGCGCGUAGGCGGUCAGCACAAGUCAGUUGUGAAAUCUCCGGGCUUAACCCGGAAAGGUCAACUGAUACUGUGCGACUAGAGUGCGGAAGGGGCAACUGGAAUUCUUGGUGUAGCGGUGAAAUGCGUAGAUAUCAAGAGGAACACCUGCGGCGAAGGCGGGUUGCUGGGCCGACACUGACGCUGAAGCGCGAAAGCCAGGGGAGCGAACGGG